UACGUAGGUGGCAAGCGUUGUCCGGAUUUACUGGGCGUAAAGAGCGCGCAGGCGGUCGUUCAAGUCGCGUGUGAAAGCCCCCGGCUCAACUGGGGAGGGUCACGCGAUACUGAUCGACUCGAAGGCAGGAGAGGGAAGUGGAAUUCCCGGUGUAGUGGUGAAAUGCGUAGAUAUCGGGAGGAACACCAGUGGCGAAGGCGACUCCUGGCCUGUUCUUGACGCUGAGGCGCGAAAGCUAGGGGAGCAAACGGGG
rnacentral:rRNA from 1 species